rnacentral:SRP_RNA from 1 species
UACCAGCCGGGGAGAUAGCGGUGCCCUGCACCCACAAUCCGCUGCAGUGGGGGUGGAUCCCCGAACUGAGGACCGAUCGUGUACGGCAGUCCCGCUUCGUUCCGCGUUGAAGAAUUGGUCUCGCGCAAUUGAUGGCUGUGAACCAUGUCAGGCGGGGAACCGAGCAGCAUUAAGCAGUAUUUUCGAUGUGCCGCGAGGAAACCUGUUCCGAGCGGGACGCGCGG